rnacentral:pre_miRNA from 1 species
AGCUCCUUGUUGGAGAAGCAGGGCACGUGCAAAAGUGUAGUUUCUCCUUAUCUUUCACUUUGCACGUGCUCCCCUUCUCCACCAUGGGUUU